rnacentral:rRNA from 1 species
CCUACGGGAGGCAGCAGUGGGGAAUAUUGGGCAAUGGGCGCAAGCCUGACCCAGCAACGCCGCGUGAAGGAAGAAGGCUUUCGGGUUGUAAACUUCUUUUCUCGGGGACGAAGGAAGUAACGUUACCUGAGGAGUAAGCCACGGCUACCUGCGUACCAACAACCGCGUUAAUACGUAGGUGGCAAUCUUUAACCGGAUUGAUUGGGUGUAAAGGGCGUGUAGGCGGGGGAGCAAGUCAGAUGUGAAAACGCAGGGCUCAACCCUGGGACUGCAUGUGAGACUGUGUUUCUUGAGUGCUGGAGAGGCAAUCGGAAUUCCGGGUGUAGCGGUGAAAUGCGUAGAUAGACGGAGGAAAACUAGUGGCGAAGGCGGAUUGCUGGACAGUAACUGACGCUGAGGCGCGAAAGCGUGGGGAGCAAACAGGAUUAGAUACCCUAGUAGUC